rnacentral:tRNA from 1 species
UCCGGGGUAGCUCAGUUGGCAGAGCAGUCGGCUGUUAACCGAUCGGUCGCGAGUUCGAGUCUCGCCCCCGGAG